AAGACCUUGCGCUUUUGGAGCGGCCGAUGCCUGAUUAGCUUGUUGGUAAGGUAAAAGCUUACCAAGGCUUCGAUCAGUAGCUGGUCUGAGAGGACGGCCAGCCACACUGGGACUGAGACACGGCCCAGACUCCUACGGGAGGCAGCAGUGGGGAAUUUUGGACAAUGGGGGCAACCCUGAUCCAGCCAUGCCGCGUGAGUGAAGAAGGCCUUCGGGUUGCAAAGCUCUUUCAGCCGGAACGAAACGGUUACGGUUAAUACCCGUGAUUACUGACGGUACCGGAGGAAGAAGCACCGGCUAACUACGUGCCAGCAGCCGCGGUAAUACGUAGGGUGCGAGCGUUAAUCGGAAUUACUGGGCGUAAAGCGUGCGCAGGUGGUUUUGUAAGUCAGAUGUGAAAGCCCCGGGCUCAACCUGGGAACU
rnacentral:rRNA from 1 species